GACGAACGCUGGCGGCGUGCUUAAUACAUGCAAGUCAACCGAAGCAGCGGUAGCAAUAUCGCUGAGGAGGUGGCGCACGGGGGAGGAACACGUAGGGAAUCUGCCUUCAGGUCUGGCAUAACGCCGGGAAACCGGGGCUAAUAGCAGAUGAUGCAGCGGCUCGACAUCGAGACAGUUGUUAAAGCUAUGGCGCCUGAAGAUGCGGCUGCGUCUGAUUAGCUAGUUGGCGGGGUAGCGGCCCACCAAGGCAACGAUCAGUAGAUGGUCGGGGAGGAUGAUCGGCAACACUGGCACUGAGACUGGGUCCAGACUACUACGGAGGGCAGCAGUAAGGACAGUUGCUCAAUGGGUGACAUCAUGAAGCCGCGCCGCAGCGUGAGGGGCGGCGGGCUUUUGCUUGUACUCCUCUGUAGUGAGAGAAAAAAAUCCCAAUCUUUGGGACAUGAUGGUAUCUCAAGAGUAAGCCCCGGCUAACUACGUG
rnacentral:rRNA from 1 species